UUGUCUUGAGUCCGGGAAGCUGUGAUGGUCAGGCUUGAAAGGGGGCGUUCCACUCACCAGUCAUUCUCCCCUUGCUGCCUCCCUUCAAAGGGACCGAACAAGACAAAUGGGGCCACCUCUCCCUGCCUCCCACAAAUGGAAACUGAGCCAUUUUAAACUGAUGAAAAAAUUGAAGUCUUAAAAUUAUUCAGUUUUAUAAAGCACAUUGGUACACCCUCUUCAGUACCUUUGGAUAUCUUUUAUCCUCUCAUCAUCAAAAAAGCCUCCUGCGUGUCGAUCUCUUCGGCUUGUUAUCAUUCCAUCCUCUC